UUCAACGGAGAGUUUGAUCCUGGCUCAGGACGAACGCUGGCGGCGUGCUUAACACAUGCAAGUCGAGCGGUAAGGCCUUUCGGGGUACACGAGCGGCGAACGGGUGAGUAACACGUGGGUGAUCUGCCCUGCACUUCGGGAUAAGCCUGGGAAACUGGGUCUAAUACCGGAUAUGACCUCCUAUCGCAUGGUGGGUGGUGGAAAGAUUUAUCGGUGCAGGAUG
rnacentral:rRNA from 1 species